rnacentral:rRNA from 1 species
UGUAUAAUGGGUCAGCGACUUAUAUUCUGUAGCAAGGUUAACCGAAUAGGGGAGCCGAAGGGAAACCGAGUCUUAACUGGGCGUUAAGUUGCAGGGUAUAGACCCGAAACCCGGUGAUCUAGCCAUGGGCAGGUUGAAGGUUGGGUAACACUAACUGGAGGACCGAACCGACUAAUGUUGAAAAAUUAGCGGAUGACUUGUGGCUGGGGGUGAAAGGCCAAUCAAACCGGGAGAUAGCUGGUUCUCCCCGAAAGCUAUUUAGGUAGCGCCUCGUGAAUUCAUCUCCGGGGGUAGAGCACUGUUUCGGCAAGGGGGUCAUCCCGACUUACCAACCCGAUGCAAACUGCGAAUACCGGAGAAUGUUAUCACGGGAGACACACGGCGGGUGCUAACGUCCGUCGUGAAGAGGGAAACAACCCAGACCGCCAGCUAAGGUCCCAAAGUCAUGGUUAAGUGGGAAACGAUGUGGGAAGGCCCAGACAGCCAGGAUGUUGGCUUAGAAGCAGCCAUCAUUUAAAGAAAGCGUAAUAGCUCACUGGUCGAGUCGGCCUGCGCGGAAGAUGUAACGGGGCUAAACCAUGCACCGAAGCUGCGGCAGCGACACUGUGUGUUGUUGGGUAGGGGAGCGUUCUGUAAGCCUGUGAAGGUGUGCUGUGAGGCAUGCUGGAGGUAUCAGAAGUGCGAAUGCUGACAUAAGUAACGAUAAAGCGGGUGAAAAGCCCGCUCGCCGGAAGACCAAGGGUUCCUGUCCAACGUUAAUCGGGGCAGGGUGAGUCGACCCCUAAGGCGAGGCCGAAAGGCGUAGUCGAUGGGAAACAGGUUAAUAUUCCUGUACUUGGUGUUACUGCGAAGGGGGGACGGAGAAGGCUAUGUUGGCCGGGCGACGGUUGUCCCGGUUUAAGCGUGUAGGCUGGUUUUCCAGGCAAAUCCGGAAAAUCAAGGCUGAGGCGUGAUGACGAGGCACUACGGUGCUGAAGCAACAAAUGCCCUGCUUCCAGGAAAAGCCUCUAAGCAUCAGGUAACAUUAAAUCGUACCCCAAACCGACACAGGUGGUCAGGUAGAGAAUACCAAGGCGCUUGAGAGAACUCGGGUGAAGGAACUAGGCAAAAUGGUGCCGUAACUUCGGGAGAAGGCACGCUGAUAUGUAGGUGAAGUCCCUCGCGGAUGGAGCUGAAAUCAGUCGAAGAUACCAGCUGGCUGCAACUGUUUAUUAAAAACACAGCACUGUGCAAACACGAAAGUGGACGUAUACGGUGUGACGCCUGCCCGGUGCCGGAAGGUUAAUUGAUGGGGUUAGCGGUAACGCGAAGCUCUUGAUCGAAGCCCCGGUAAACGGCGGCCGUAACUAUAACGGUCCUAAGGUAGCGAAAUUCCUUGUCGGGUAAGUUCCGACCUGCACGAAUGGCGUAAUGAUGGCCAGGCUGUCUCCACCCGAGACUCAGUGAAAUUGAACUCGCUGUGAAGAUGCAGUGUACCCGCGGCAAGACGGAAAGACCCCGUGAACCUUUACUAUAGCUUGACACUGAACAUUGAGCCUUGAUGUGUAGGAUAGGUGGGAGGCUUUGAAGUGUGGACGCCAGUCUGCAUGGAGCCGGCCUUGAAAUACCACCCUUUAAUGUUUGA